rnacentral:rRNA from 1 species
AAUAGAUACCCAGGUAGUCCACGCCGUAAACGAUGGAUGCUAGCUAUUGGAGGGAAUCGACCCCCUCCGAAGCGAAGCUAACGCGUUAAGCAUCCCGCCUGAGUAGUACGAGCGCAAGCUUAAAACUCAAAGGAAUUGACGGGGACCCGCACAAGCGGUGGAGCGUGUGGUUUAAUUCGAUGGUAAACGAAGAACCUUACCAAGGUUUGACAUCCCGGUAGCCGUUCUCCGAAAGGAGAAUUUCAUUUAGUUGGACCGGUGACAGGUGAUGCAUGGCCGUCGUCAACUCGUGUCGUGAGAUGUUGGGUUAAGUCCCGCAACGAGCGCAACCCUUAUGAUUUAGUUGGAUUUUUCUAAACAGACUGCCCUGGUAACAGGGAGGAAGGAGGGGAUGAUGUCAGGUCAGUAUUUCCCUUACACCUUGGGCGACACACGCGCUACAAUGGCCGGUACAAUGGGCAGCUAAGCCGCGAGGUGGAGCAAAUCCCAUCAAAGCCGGUCCCAGUUCGGAUUGCAGGCUGAAACCCGCCUGCAUGAAGCCGGAAUCGCUAGUAACC